ACCAAGUGAAACACUAGCAGCAACUCUCACAUUCUGUCAGAAUGUCUCGAACCCUAUCCUGAUACAUUACUCGUUGGCACGACGGCAGUAGCAGGAUAUACAAUGCACAGACCCUAUUAUGGCCAUGAUCUUCUUGUUACCGGGAACCAACAUUACAUCACAAUACAGGUCAUAUGUGUUGUGGAUUUAUCGAGGUUCCUGAUGCCUCUCAUUCC
rnacentral:lncRNA from 1 species